rnacentral:rRNA from 1 species
GAUGAACGCUGGCGGCGUGCUUAACACAUGCAAGUCGAACGGAAAGGCCCAAGCUUGCUUGGGUACUCGAGUGGCGAACGGGUGAGUAACACGUGGGUGAUCUGCCCUGCACUUCGGGAUAAGCCUGGGAAACUGGGUCUAAUACCGGAUAGGACGAUGGUUUGGAUGCCAUUGUGGAAAGUUUUUUCGGUGUGGGAUGAGCUCGCGGCCUAUCAGCUUGUUGGUGGGGUAAUGGCCUACCAAGGCGUCGACGGGUAGCCGGCCUGAGGGGGUGUACGGCCACAUUGGGACUGAGAUACGGCCCAGACUCCUACGGGAGGCAGCAGUGGGGAAUAUUGCACAAUGGGCGCAAGCCUGAUGCAGCGACGCCGCGUGGGGGAUGACGGCCUUCGGGUUGUAAACUCCUUUCGCUAGGGACGAAGCGUUUUUGUGACGGUACCUGGAGAAGAAGCACCGGCUAACUACGUG